rfam:TPA: Bos taurus chromosome 7, whole genome shotgun sequence.
UUCCUGGUGGUCCAGUGGCUAAGACUCUUGUUCCCAAUGCAGGGGGCCCAGGUUCAACCCCUGGUCAGGGAA